rnacentral:rRNA from 1 species
UACGUAGGUGGCGAGCGUUGUCCGGAUUUACUGGGCGUAAAGAGCGCGCAGGCGGUCGUACAAGUCGCGUGUGAAAGCCCCCGGCUCAACUGGGGAGGGUCACGCGAUACUGUUCGACUCGAAGGCAGGAGAGGGUAGUGGAAUUCCCGGUGUAGUGGUGAAAUGCGUAGAUAUCGGGAGGAACACCAGUGGCGAAGGCGACUACCUGGCCUGUUCUUGACGCUGAGGCGCAAAAGCUAGGGUAGCAAACGGG